rnacentral:lncRNA from 1 species
ACAAACUGUCCCUCCACGGCUGCCACUCUACGCAGCCGGACCGGAUUUCUCAGGCUGGAGAAGCUACUCUGCGCGUCUUCGUGAAGGAGAACUCUUGCGUUCUGCUAGCCAGGGUCCCAGCUCCGACCCUGCUAGUUAGGACAAAGCUCUAGGAGGUGUCUAAGGGGGUGGGGGGAACCGUAAAGGGGAAACACUCGAGAUCCGGAAGUGGCGCUCCGGGGAGAAGGUGGCUGCGGCUGCUGGGGCCGCUGCGCCGGCGGCGGUUCCCGAUGUGGAGGUCCGUCUUGGGUGGGGAGGCACCCAGGUCGCUGGUUCGAUGCAGAGGAAGAAACCACACCUAGCACGUAAAGCCCUGAAAAAAUAGAGGUGUACAGUAGAGUUUUCCAGAGGCUACAUGACAUGCAGUAUCACAACGGAAGCAAAUAUAAGAACCCACCUGUCUCCUGUUAAAAUGCAAAAUGUAAAACAAUACCACUUUGCUAACUGUUUUUGUUUGGGGAAAUAUAGUUCAUAAAAAUAUUUAUGUUAACAUGUAAUUUAGGUUAAAAUAAAUUAAUAAAUAUUUGUAAAUUGUCUGUUUUAAUUUCUAAUAUGGUAAAUACAGAUAGAUAUAACCCAUAUAAACAAAACCUGUUUGGGGUCCUCAAUAAUAUUGAAGAGUGUUAUACAGGGGUCCUAAGGCCAAAGAAUUUGAUAAUGCUGCUCUAAGUCUUCCUUAUCCAUUAAAGUCCAAAUGAAAGCUGGGAACAGUAGCUAAUGCCUGUAACCCCAGUGCUUUGGGAGGCCGACAUAGGAGGAUUACUUGAGGCCAGGAGUUUGAGACCAGACAGGGCAACAUACGGAGACCCUGUUGCUACAAAAAUAAAUUUAAAACGUAGUUGGUCAUGGUGGCACAUGUCUGUAGUCCUAACUACUUGGGAGGCUGAGGCAGGAAGAUCACUUGAGCCUAGGAGCUUGAGGCUGCUAUGAUCCCGCCACUGCACUCCAGCCUGGGUGACAAAGC